CGGAGAGGGAGCAUGAGAAACGGCUACCACAUCUAAGGAAGGCAGCAGGCGCGAAAAUUACCCAAUACUAAUACAGUGAGGUAGUAACAAUAAAUAACACAGCCCAGCAUUUCAUGUUGGGCUUUUGGAAUGAGAACAAUUUAAAUCCAUUAUCGAGGAUCAAUUGGAGGGCAAGUCUGGUGCCAGCAGCCGCGGUAAUUCCAGCUCCAAUAGCGUAUAUUAAAGUUGCUGCAGUCAAAAAGCUCGUAGUUGGAUUUCUAGCGAGGCACGAGAAUAUCCACCUAUGGUGAAUACUUCUCUCGCCUUGCUCUUCUUUAGUUGAUGUCUCUGGCAUUAAGUUGUCGGAGUCCUGAGACUAAUCGUUUACUGUGAGAAAAUUAGAGUGUUCAAAGCAGGCUUAUGCCGUUGAAUAUAUUAGCAUGGAAUAAUAAGAUAGGACUUCGGUACUAUUUUGUUGGUUUGCGUACUGAUGUAAUGAUAAAUAGGGACUGGCGUGGGUAUUCGUAUUUUAAUGUCAGAGGUGAAAUUCUUGGAUUAUUGAAAGACGGACGACUGCGAAAGCAUCUACCAAGUAUGUUUUC
rnacentral:rRNA from 1 species